CUCACAGGCGGUGCAAAGAUAAUUAGGGAGACGUGCAGGAGGAAAAAUCAACAGGAGUUGGAUAAGGCCUAUCAGAUAUUUGCAAUGCAAACAGCCGGAGCAUGGUGUGCUUCUGACCCCGCAGGAUUCAGAAAUCUGGUCACCUUAGCUGGCUUGCAGCUUAAUGGGCUUGUUUUUAAAGAGCCUGCGUGUAGCAGGUAUCAGGGCUUUCAGUGAAUAGCAGAACGCUGUGGAAUUGGCCAGAAAGAACAAGCUCCAGUCUGGAUCCAGAACACCUGAGAAGAGACGAUGCUGACCCCUCAGAGGACCCCAGAUGAUGCUAACCCUGAAUCAACAAACAGAGCUAACAAAUAUUGCUACUUACUAUGCAAUCACAUUAUAAUUGCUUUUAAUAGUGUUCAUCUUCUGGUUGACUAUGUCUUGUAUUAAUUUUUUCUGAAAAAUCCUGCCAUAUGUACAUAAACUGACAGUCGCCACUUAUAAGUUACUACUAAAUAUUGUAGAAACUUAAUUUUCUGUAAAACUGCUUUGUAAUGAUUUGUAUCAUAAAAAGCGCUAUUCGAAUAAAUACACUUGAAUUGAA